ensembl:snRNA U6 U6 spliceosomal RNA
GUACUGGUUUGGGCAGCACAGGUACUAAAAUUGGAAGAAUAUAGAGAAGAUUAGUGUGAUCCCUGCACAGGGAUGACGCACAGAUUUGUGAAGGAUGCCAUAUUUUU